rnacentral:snRNA from 1 species
AUCUCUGGCUCCUCUGCAUUUAACCGAGAAAAUCUUUCGCCUUUUACUAAAGAUUUCCGUGCAAAGGUGCAUUUUAUGAGUACACGCGAAUUUUUUGGAUUCCCCUCGAAAGAGUGGGAU